rnacentral:misc_RNA from 1 species
GAUGAAGAACGUAGCGAAAUGCGAUAAGUAAUGUGAAUUGCAGAAUUCAGUGAAUCAUCGAGUCUUUGAACGCACAUUGCGCCCGUCAGUAUUCUGGCGGGCAUGCCUGUUCGAGCGUCAUUACGCCCCUCAAGUCCCCUGUGGACUUGGUGUUGGGGAUCGGCGAGGCUGGUUUUCCAGCACAGCCGUCCCUUAAAUUAAUUGGCGGUCUCGCCGUGGCCCUCCUCUGCGCAGUAGUAAAACACUCGCAACAGGAGCCCGGCGCGGUCCACUGCCGUAAAACCCCCCAACUUUUUAUAGUUGACCUCGAAUCAGGUAGGACUACCCGCUGAACUUAAGCAUAUCAAUAAGCGGAGGA